rnacentral:rRNA from 1 species
ACAAGCGGUGGAUGAUGUGAUUAUUCGAUGCAACGCGAAGAACCUUACCUACCCUUGACAUGUCCGGAACUUGCCAGAGAUGGCUUGGUGCCCGAAAGGGAAUCGGAACACAGGUGCUGCAUGGCUGUCGUCAGCUCGUGUCGUGAGAUGUUGGGUUAAGUCCCGCAACGAGCGCAACCCUUGUCAUUAGUUGCUACGAAAGGGCACUCUAAAUGAAACUGCCGUGACAAACCGGAGGAAGUGGGGAUGACGUCAAGUCCUCAUGGCCCUUAUGGGUAGGGCUUCACACGUCAUACAAUGGUCGGUACAGAGGGCUGCCAACCCGUAAGGGGGAGCCAAUCCUUUAAAACCGAUCGUAGUCCGGAUUGAGGUCUGCAACUCGACCUCAUGAAGUCGGAAUCGCUAGUAAUCGCGGAUCAGCAUGUCGCGGUGAAUACGUUCCCGGGUCUU